rnacentral:rRNA from 1 species
GGCGCCCCCCUCUCUCCUUGCAAAUCUAGUGACUGAUGGCUCCGCUCCCCUUCGCUUGCCGCGGACUGCUGCUUACUACUUCGGUCAUCUUGCCUGUAAGACUGGGAUAACUCCGGGAAACCGGGGCUAAUACCGGAUGGUUGUUUGAAUCGCAUGGUUCAAACAUAAAAGGUGGCUUCGGCUACCACUUACAGAUGGACCCGCGGCGCAUUAGCUAGUUGGUGAGGUAACGGCUCACCAAGGCAACGAUGCGUAGCCGACCUGAGAGGGUGAUCGGCCACACUGGGACUGAGACACGGCCCAGACUCCUACGGGAGGCAGCAGUAGGGAAUCUUCCGCAAUGGACGAAAGUCUGACGGAGCAACGCCGCGUGAGUGAUGAAGGUUUUCGGAUCGUAAAGCUCUGUUGUUAGGGAAGAACAAGUACCGUUCGAAUAGGGCGGUACCUUGACGGUACCUAACCAGAAAGCCACGGCUAACUACGUGCCAGCAGCCGCGGUAAUACGUAGGUGGCAAGCGUUGUCCGGAAUUAUUGGGCGUAAAGGGCUCGCAGGCGGUUUCUUAAGUCUGAUGUGAAAGCCCCCGGCUCAACCGGGGAGGGUCAUUGGAAACUGGGGAACUUGAGUGCAGAAGAGGAGAGUGGAAUUCCACGUGUAGCGGUGAAAUGCGUAGAGAUGUGGAGGAACACCAGUGGCGAAGGCGACUCUCUGGUCUGUAACUGACGCUGAGGAGCGAAAGCGUGGGGAGCGAACAGGAUUAGAUACCCUGGUAGUCCACGCCGUAAACGAUGAGUGCUAAGUGUUAGGGGGUUUCCGCCCCUUUAGUGCUGCAGCUAACGCCAUUA